rnacentral:piRNA from 1 species
UGCACAGAACCCCUCGUGAGUUU